CCUACGGGUGGCAGCAGUGAGGAAUAUUGCUCAAUGGGGGAAACCCUGAAGCAGCAACGCCGCGUGGAGGAUGAAGGUUUUCGGAUUGUAAACUCCUUUUGUUAGAGAAGAUAAUGACGGUAUCUAACGAAUAAGCACCGGCUAACUCCGUGCCAGCAGCCGCGGUAAUACGGAGGGUGCAAGCGUUACUCGGAAUCACUGGGCGUAAAGGGCGCGUAGGCGGGAUAGCAAGUCAGAUGUGAAAUCCUAUGGCUUAACCAUAGAACUGCAUUUGAAACUGUUAUUCUAGAGUAUGGGAGGGGUAGGUGGAUUUCUUGGGGAAGGGGGAAAAUCCGUAGAAACAAAGAGGAAUACCAAUUGAGAAGGCAGCCGG
rnacentral:rRNA from 1 species